UACGUAGGGUGCAAGCGUUGUCCGGAAUUAUUGGGCGUAAAGAGCUCGUAGGCGGUUUGUCGCGUCGAAUGUGAAAACCCGGGGCUCAACCCCGGGCCUGCAUUCGAUACGGGCAGACUAGAGUUCGGUAGGGGAGACUGGAAUUCCUGGUGUAGCGGUGAAAUGCGCAGAUAUCAGGAGGAACACCGGUGGCGAAGGCGGGUCUCUGGGCCGAUACUGACGCUGAGGAGCGAAAGCGUGGGGAGCGAACAGG
rnacentral:rRNA from 1 species